GGAGUGGGCUAGUCCCCCGGGUCGGUCACCGCUGAACUCUCAGACAAUCAAGCUUUCGAUGAUCAUGUGAUGAGGUUUCCAGUCAGUUCCAGGUGAAGACACCACUGGCCAUCAAGAAGCUACCCUCUCCCCACCAGACAGAGCAGGAUGAGAGUUCUAUAAUCCUCAAUAGGAGGGAGCACUCAAUUGAACAAGUGCAGGAACCAGCUGGCUGCCUCAGCACUGACAGAAGCAAAUUCCAUUUGCUUGGACCCACUGCAUUCCAUCCCUUGUGGAAGAGAGCAUGUAAGCAAGACAGGACCUUCGGGCCUCUAAAAAAAAAGGAUCAAAGAACUGAAACUCACCAGAUCACCUCACCAGAUGCUAGACCCCUCAUUCACCAUGUUUGCUUCCUUGCCUCUCCCUAGUUCUUAUUUUCUUACACAUUGUUACAUUUCUUCCCUGCUAUAUCAACCCCUAGUUCUAGUCAGUCAUGGAGAUGGAUUUGAGACUGAUCUCCCAUCCCCUCAGCUGCACCACCUGAUUAAAGCCUUCUUCCU
rnacentral:lncRNA from 1 species